UACGUAGGGUGCAAGCGUUGUCCGGAAUUAUUGGGCGUAAAGGGCUCGUAGGCGGUUUGUCGCGUCGGGGAGUGAAAACCCAGGGCUUAACCCUGGGCUGGCUUCCGAUACGGGCAGACUAGAGGUAUGCAGGGGAGAACGGAAUUCCUGGUGUAGCGGUGAAAUGCGCAGAUAUCAGGAGGAACACCGGGUGGCGAAGGCGG
rnacentral:rRNA from 1 species